AACGAACGCUGGCGGCAGGCUUAACACAUGCAAGUCGAGCGCCCCGCAAGGGGAGCGGCAGACGGGUGAGUAACGCGUGGGAAUCUACCCAUCUCUACGGAAUAACGCAUGGAAACGUGUGCUAAUACCGUAUACGUCCUUCGGGAGAAAGACUUAUCGGAGAUGGAUGAGCCCGCGUUGGAUUAGCUAGUUGGUGGGGUAAAGGCCUACCAAGGCGACGAUCCAUAGCUGGUCUGAGAGGAUGAUCAGCCACACUGGGACUGAGACACGGCCCAGACUCCUACGGGAGGCAGCAGUGGGGAAUAUUGGACAAUGGGCGCAAGCCUGAUCCAGCCAUGCCGCGUGAGUGAUGAAGGCCCUAGGGUUGUAAAGCUCUUUCACCGGUGAAGAUAAUGACGGUAACCGGAGAAGAAGCCCCGGCUAACUUCGUGCCAGCCGCCGCAGUAA
rnacentral:rRNA from 1 species